UCACUGAUGGUGGAGUGGUAUACACUCCUGCCUUUGGUGUGGGCAGCGCGGGUUCGAAUCCCGCUCAGUGAC